CCUACGGGUGGCAGCAGUGGGGAAUAUUGGACAAUGGGGGAAACCCUGAUCCAGUGACGCCGCGUGAGUGAAGAAGUAUUUCGGUACGGAAAGCUCUAUCAGCAGGAAAGAAAAUGACGGUACGUGUCUAAGAAGCUCCGGCUAACUACGUGCCAGCACGCGCGGUAAUACGCAGGGGGCAAGCGUUAUCCGGAUUUACUGGGUGUAAAGGGAGCGUAGACGGCAGCGCAAGUCUGGAGUGAAAUGCCGGGGCCCAACCCGAGAACUGCCCUGGAAACUGUGAAGCUGGAGUGCAGGCGAGGUAAGCGGAAUUCCUGGUGUAGCGGUGAAAUGCGUAGAUAUCAGGAGGAACACCGGCGGCGAAGGCGGCUUACUGAACUGUAACUGACAUUGAGGCUCGAAGGCGUGGGUAGCAAACAGGAUUAGAUACCCUAGUAGUC
rnacentral:rRNA from 1 species